rnacentral:rRNA from 1 species
UACGGAGGGUGCGAGCGUUGUCCGGAAUCACUGGGCGUAAAGGGCGCGUAGGCGGCUCAUGAAGGCUGUGGUGAAAGUCCGGGGCUCAACCUCGGAUCGGCCGUGGCGACUCGUGGGCUGGAGCACUGUAGAGGCGGGUGGAAUUCGGGGUGUAGCGGUGGAAUGCGUAGAGAUCCGGAAGAACACCAACGGCGUAGGCAGCGCCCUAGACGAGACCUGACGCUCAGGCACGAAAGCGCGGGGAGCGAACAGG